rnacentral:lncRNA from 1 species
GGCAGAUACGUCGAACCAUCGGAUCGAGGGAGGGCCCAGGCACCGCCACAUGUCAACAUCUGAAAAAUCCUCGUUCGGCGUGCUUUCAACUUCGACCGUCGAAGGGCCUUAUAUAUAUACGGCCACUUGUAUCCAAAGCUUCACUUUUUACUGCUCUGUUUUUGGCACUAAGAUCCUGUCGAGUUGUCUCCCAGUCCCAGAUAGCUGU